rnacentral:misc_RNA from 1 species
GAAAUGCGAUAAGUAAUGUGAAUUGCAGAAUUCAGUGAAUCAUCGAAUCUUUGAACGCACAUUGCGCCCGCCAGUAUUCUGGCGGGCAUGCCUGUUCGAGCGUCAUUUCAACCCUCAGGAACCCCCCUUCCGGGGGGGCGGGCCUGGUGUUGGGGACCGGCGAGGAUCCGACCGCGCACCCCGCCCUGCGCGGGAGCGGCCGGGUCGCGCCGUCCCCGAAAUGAAUUGGCGGCCUCGUCGCGGCCUCCUCUGCGUAGUAGCACAACCUCGCAUCAGGAGCGCGGCGCGGCCACUGCCGUAAAACGCCCCAUCUCUUUUAGAGUUGACCUCGAAUCAGGUAGGAAUACCCGCUGAACUUAA